rnacentral:rRNA from 1 species
GACGUAGGGCGCGAGCGUUGUCCGGAUUUAUUGGGCGUAAAGAGCUCGUAGGCGGUCUGUCGCGUCGGCUGUGAAAACCCGGGGCUCAACCCCGGGCCUGCAGUCGAUACGGGCAGACUAGAGUGCGGUAGGGGAGACUGGAAUUCCUGGUGUAGCGGUGAAAUGCGCAGAUAUCAGGAGGAACACCGGUGGCGAAGGCGGGACUCUGGGCCGAUACUGACGCUGAGGAGCGAAAGCGUGGGGAGCAAACAGG